rnacentral:lncRNA from 1 species
CUUGAAGAGGCUCAAGGUCUCUUCUGGGUACCAAAGCAGAGAUGGCAUGUCACAGGAUUUCUGACUUUUCACCUUCUUUGUUGGGGAAGACAUAUUUAUUUAUUAAUAAUAAAGCUUGCAUUCAUAGAAUCAAAAAUUUUUAAAAUUAUUAUAAAUCUUCCAUAGUCAUUUUAAUGAGUUAAUUUUUGAGUAAUGAUUAUUUAUUCUUGAAUAUUUAGUCACAGUAAUGGCUCUUUAAAAUUAUAACCAAUUAAAACUGCCAUUUAUCUAUUUGGACCAAGUUGUGGAAAACAUUCAAUUAUAGUCCAUAAGAAGAAUUUCAUCUUGUAUUUACUUAGUUUUUGAAAGCUUAAUAUUUAAAAUUAUUAGAGUAGGCAACAUCUCAUAUUGCUAUUGUAUCAUGUUUUUAUGUCUGUGUUUGUCUGUGCUGCAACUUGUGUAUAUUAACUUCCUCAAAAUUCAUACCUCUUAUCACAAUGUAAUGCUAUUCUCUUGACAGUGUAUGCAUUUUACUUUAAAUUAUCCAUCAUAUACUGUACUGUUUUUACAUUUAAAAAGAUUUUUAUUUUCUCAGUCAGGUAUCAUAUUACCUUGCAUAGCUCAAAGAAUGGUAUAAUGAAAUCAGCUAAACAUGGUAUUUUUCUUCUGAAAUUAUUGAGUUUAACCAAUUUAUCAGAAAGUGUGACAUUUAAUGUGAAUAGUCUGAUUUAAGGAGAUUAGCAUCCAGAUGCUUUAAUCAUCAUUUAUGUGAUUUUAUAUAUUAUUUCACUAUAAUUUUGCUAAGUUAUUUGAGUAUUUAAUUUGUCUAUAUCUGCUAUAUCCAGGAACCAAAUAACCAAAUUGUGAUCCAGUAAUUUCUCAAAAAACUUAAAAUAUUUUCUUAUGGCUCAAAAAUGAUUCUAAAUAUUCCAUGGCCAUUUUAUUAUGAAUUAAUUACUCAGUAAUGAUUAUUUAGCUGGGUGAUUCAUAGUAAUGUCUUUUUAAAAUUAUAACCAAAUAAAACAGCCAUUUAUCUGUUUGGACCAAGUUGCAGAAAGCACUCAAUUAUAGUCCAUAAGAAGAAUUUCAUCUUACAUUUUCUUAAUUUGAUGAAAUAUGCUCACCUUUUUCUAAUCAAAUUUUUCACUGAUUAUACUCACAAUGAAAUUUACUUGGUUGCAUAAAUGACCCCGUUCUUGCAGUGAGAAUUUUAUGCAUUCAGUAACUAAGGUGGUAAAAUCUAAGUACUUAAUAAGCAAUUGUAAUUAAUUAGUCGGCUUGAAUAAUAGAAUUAACAAAUAAAUUUAAUUACCAGAAUAUACACUGAGUGUAAACUUUGGUGAAAUGUGCAAGUGUAUAUUUUCUGACAAAAUGAAAUUGGAGCAUUUCACCAGAGGCUUCUUCAGUAAGACUCAGAAGAUCGUCAGAUUUGCAGGGAUUUGAAAUAUCUCAGGAGGACAGAAAGCUACUGAAAUAACAGGGACUAUUCUUGGGCUUUUGAAUAUACCACAGGCAAAGUUUGUGCAUUGAUUACAAGUGUUACAAUUUUAAUACUUGCCUCAUGCUUCUUUAAAUAUCACCUGUCUUUAGAAUUAAAAGGAUCUCAAAAAGUCAUUUGGGUUUUUAAAUAAUUCUAGAAGAAUAAAAGUUUUCUUCGAAAGGUUAAAAGAACCCAUAACUCUUCAAAUAGAGAAAACAUAGAUGAUCUCUUUUGGUAAUUGUUAAAGGUCAUGUUUUAAUCUAGUUCCUCAAACUGAUAAUAGGGAACAGCCAGAAUCCUGGAGUUGAAGGUC